rnacentral:lncRNA from 10 species
GGAGACCAGCCUGGACACCACAAUGAAACCCAGUCUCUGCAAAAAAUACAAAAAUUUGCUGAGCGUGCUGGUGCAUGCCUGUAGUCCUGGCUACUCAGGAGGCUGAGGUGGGAGAAUCACUUGACUUGAUGUCGAGGCUGCAGUGAGCUGAGAUCGCACCACUCCUAGAUGAUAAGAGUGAGAGCCUGUCUCAAAACAAAGAAAAGAAAGAAAGAACGAAAGAGAAGAAAAUACAGGUAUUACGGCCUAGACAUUCUUUCAGAUGCCAGAGGAUGCUAUAGAAAAAUGCGUGCCCUCUUGUAAUACUUUGUUCAAGUUCUGAUCAGAAGGAUGAAUGAUGGAGCCCAAGAAGCCAGAGUCUCAUUGUGUUGCUCAGGCUGGAAUCCAGUGGCAUGAUCUCGGCUCAGUGCAACCUCCGCCUCCUGGGUUCAAGCAGUUCUCCUAGAUCAGCAUCAGCGUCCCGAGUAGCUGGGAUUACAGGCACCCGCCACCAUGCCUGGCUAAUGUUGGUCAGGCUGGCUCGAACUCCUGACCUCAAGAGAUCCACCUGCUUUGGCCUCCCAAAGUGCUCGGAUUACAGGCAUGAGCUGCCACACCCAGCCUCCAAAUACUUUUUUUUUAAAUCAAAAUAAUGAUUUCAAUGACUGAGAUCUGUUAUGUAUUUCAACAUAAUCAUGUUUCAUAAAGAUUUAGUCUUCUG